rnacentral:rRNA from 1 species
GACGAACGCUGGCGGCGUGCUUAACACAUGCAAGUCGAACGGAAAGGCCCUGCUUUUGUGGGGUGCUCGAGUGGCGAACGGGUGAGUAACACGUGAGUAACCUGCCCUUUACUUUGGGAUAACUUCAGGAAACUGGGGCUAAUACCGGAUAGGAGCUCCUGCUGCAUGGUGGGGGUUGGAAAGUUUCGGCGGUUGGGGAUGGACUCGCGGCUUAUCAGCUUGUUGGUGGGGUAGUGGCUUACCAAGGCUUUGACGGGUAGCCGGCAUGAGAGGGUGACCGGCCACAUUGGGACUGAGAGACGGCCCAGACGGCUACGGGAGGCAGGAGGGGGGAAUAUUGCACAAUGGGCGGAAGCCUGAUGAAGAAACGCAGCGUGCGGGAUGACGGCCUUCGGGUUGUAAACCGAUUUCGAAUGUGAAGAAGAGUGAGUGACGGUAAUGGGUAAAGAAGCACCGGCUAACUACGUG